GAAAGACUAUUCAAGAAAGUUGGCCUGCCAUGGAAGGGGAAGCAAAGGGAUUUGUUUUAGUUCCCUGACAAAGGGAAAGCACCUCAAAUAAAGAAUGGAUGAUGUUUGUGAUUCCAAAAACAGUAACGGUUUCUAAAGUUUGUGCUUAUAGUAAGGCAGCUGCAGUGCAUCCCGUCUCUUAGCUUAUCAUACAUCCCUUUGUCACUGUGACUAGUGAUGAUAUGCGUUUUGGCAGUGGCACAAAACUUACAGUAAUAGGGAAGAAUGAUGAAAUCAUACCUCCAGCGGUGGCCAUCUUUUCCCCAUCAAAGCAGGAGAUCCAGGAGAAGAGCAAGGCCACGCUGGUGUGCCUGGCCUCUGGUUUCUACCCUGACCACCUGACUCUGGUCUGGAGGGUGAAUGGUGUGAAAAGGACCGAAGGGGUGGGGACAGACGAGUCCUCCACACAGAAUGGGAGCACCUACUCCCGGACCAGCCGACUGAGGAUGCCAGCAUGGGAAUGGUUCAACCCUCUGAAUCGCUUCGAGUGUGUUGCCAUUUUUUUUCAGAAUGGAACAACAGCAUCAAUAAACAAAUUUAUCAGUGGUGAUGCUGGUUGUGCACUCACAGAAGAGUCGUACUUGCGGUAUGGAAAUUCCCUGAAGCUCACUUACCUCAUCCUCUGUGGCAAAGCCUUGGUCUAUGCAGUUUUGGUGAGUGGGCUGGUGUGGACGGCCAAGGUAAGUCAGAGUGGCCCUGGAAGGCUGGGCUUACUCACUAAGGAUCAGUGGAUGCAGGCUGAACCUCUUCUCAGAGGUGUGGCUGUUGUGCAGGUGCUCUGCCAGGCUUUGUGCAGCUCAGCUUGAAGAAGCACAAGUGAUGGGUUUUCUCUUACUGUUUUUGCAGAACUCAAAUAAAAUCAGUGCUAUCUAGCAGAGAAAUUCCUUCUCACAAUCCUCUUUAAACACAUGAACAAGAUGAGAAUUAAGGACAAGAUGCCCAGAAAUUAAAUGAGGGAAAUAUCAGAUAUAUCACACAUUUGUGUAACCAUUGUAAAGGGGCUUACACCUGCAGCAAAAAUAAUAAGCAGGUUUUUGAGGUGAUGCAGGGGAUAAAUCUGAUCAAACACAAAUAUUUAUAAUGAAAUGUGGGAUCAAUCCAAACAAAUGCGAUAAAUUCAACUAACUGACAGGAAAUGCUUUUUGUUAGCAAGUUUUUCCUACAGAGGAAACCUCCAUGCAGUGAGAGCAGCAGAAGUGUCAGCACAUGGCACUAUAAAAACAGAACAAGGGGAUUUAUUUGAAAAGUGACCUGGUAGAGUUGAGGGCGAGGAUGCAGACAAUCUGUUAUACUUUUUUUGGUCCUUUUGCAAGCAUAUACUGGAGGGGGUGGAUUUGUACAUUUCUGGAUCAUAGUCAUAGAAUCACAGAUUGGUUUAGGUUAGAAAGACCAUUUAGAGAUUAUCUAGUUCCAUCCCACCCUGAAAUGGGCAGAGAUAUCCUUCAUUAGACUAGGUUGCUGAAAGCCCCAUGCAACCAGACCUCAAAUACUUCCAGGGGUGGAAAGUAUUUGAGCACAGCUCAAGGAGCACAGCGUCUCUGGGAAACCUGUUCCACUGUCUCACCACCCUCACCAGAACAAGUGUCUGCCUUUAAUCUGAAGCUACCCUGUAUCAGUUUAAAUCCAGGGCUCUUCAUCCUGUCACUGCAGGCCUUGGCAAAACAUCUCUGUUUUCCUUAAAAGUCCCCCACUGCUGUAUGUGGGAAGGCCUCAGGCAGGCCUCUCCAGAGGCUUCUCUUCUCCAGUCUCCAGAGGGCUUGUUCUCUCAGCCUGUCUUCAUACCUGAGGCCCUGAGACUGGUUUCUGUGGGCCUCCUUGGGACCUGCUGUGUGGUGGCCAUGAGUUUCCUGUGCUGGGGCCUCCAGAGCUGGACACAGAACUGCAGCUGGGAGUGGUGGGGGUCCACAUGGAACCGCUCUCUAAGUCUGUCCAGGUCCCUGUGGUUGGCAUCCCCUCCCUCAAACACACCGAUGGCCACACAGCUUCGUGUCAUCUCUGAACUUGCUGAGGGUGCACUUGCUCCCAGUGUCAAUGACACACUGAUGAAAGGUGAAAAAAUGCUUUUGGCCCCAGGACAGACCCUUGAGAGAAACUGUUCAUGACUGACUGCCGCUUGAACAUCCAACCAUGGAUGGUAACUCUUUGGGCAAGGUCAUCCAGCCAAUUCCUGUGUUUGUUUCUCUUGUUUGGUGGUUGUUGUUGUUAUCAUUGCUAUUUUAUUGUUCUUCUUAAUUUACUUCAUUUUGUUUUCAAUUAGACUGGUGUCAAGCUAUCAAGAGAAUAAAUGACGAGCCCUUGUCAUCACAUCAGCAGGAACAUGACAAGUUUGCUACCUUUCCACCGCUGAAUAUCUAUGCUUCUACGAACUUCUGAAUAUAAUUUUUUUGUAAUUAUCUGUUGCCAUCCUGUUCAUCACGUUUUUGUAAUCCCUGCUGAGCUUUCCCUGUACUUCCAUAUCAUAAUGUAUCAUAUUUCAUUGUAACAUAUCUUUAAAAGUAGCAUCUUCUUAAUCUUCAGAGGCUGAGAACUCAUCUCCUUGAUUUAGGAAUAAAGUUUUGACUUCUUUUCCCUUGAAAA